GGUGGGGACAGCUGCCCCAUUGCUCCCUGAGUUCCGAGAGCCCGCCCGAGGGGAGUGGAGCGCUCUCCUAGGUCCGGAGCACCGCGCCUAACCCAUCCUCCCGCUGAGGUCGCGGGGUCGAGGGCACCCCAGGGCCCAGCCACUCUUCUGCCUUCCCCGCAGCCUCCCCACCCCCAUUCGGCUCUGGAAUCGAUAGUGGGCGCUGAUUUUUCACAAUUGCAGCUGUCUGAUUCAUCAGUGAAUAAUUAAAUCAGAGGCAGCCAGGCCUGCCUGGCGUUGGGAUAUAGGGGGCCCCUCCUAGAUCGUUCAAACUGGGAGUUGUUGGGAAGCUAAGAGGACCGCCUGCCUGCGCCUAGGCUGGGAGAGCUGUCUGGAGGGGGCGCCUUUCUGGAUGUGAUUGGAGGUGUUGGGAGUCGGCCUGGCUGCUGAGGAAGAAAAGACAACAAAAAGAUUUCACGCGCAACUUGACCCAGACAAAGGGACCUCAUGCCCAAUCUCCUUUUGAAAGGUGACAACUGACAAAAAAGGAAAACUUUAUCUUCAGCCUACUUGAGCAGUACAUCUGGAAACCCUCUUUAAGAAGAAGGUGUAACGGAAGUCAUUUACCAACCCUAAACUGACUUUGAGGCUAAAGUGACAGGCUGAGAAGCUCGAGAGACUUGGCCCUACGCUUUAGUUUUAGUUUUCUCCUUCCCGUGUUCAACCAGCCCGAGCUUUCAGACACAAGAAAAUUGAAGUUAAUGGAGAUCUCAAACAGAGCCACAAUUCUGAAGCCUCCCUCUCUGCCACAAACACCCACCAUGCAUCUGCACGUGUAAUCGUGUAAUCGCAGAGCCUCGCCGGCCGGGUCUUCAUUACAAGGGACUCUGAGGAAAAGCGAAGAAGACUCUCUGUCGUUAAAAGGAAGCCUCGAUUAUCACCACCAUUAUUUGUGUAUAACAACAUAAGAAAUGUCUUUCUCUUCUUGAAAUUCCGCCCCCCCCCCACAAUAUUGAAACAGCGUUUGUUGUACGAUUUAUAUAAAUGCUUGAGGCCUUACUGGAAAACUAUUACCAUUCAAUGGCUAGGAAAUUGCUCUCCUUCCCUAAAAGAGAAAGAAAGAAAGAAAGAAAGAAAGAAAGAAAGAAAGAAAGAAAGAAGGAAAGAAGGGAGGAAAGAAAGGAGGAAAGGAAGGAAGGAGGAAAAAGAAAGGCUGGUGUAGCAGCAGAAGCAGCUACACAGAAGCAACAAAAACUUUCUCCUGAAUAAUCCUCCCUCGAACAAUGACAAAGAAAUGAUAUUGACUUACCCAGGAAGGGAUGGUGUGUUUGAUAAGGGGGGUACUUUUUUGUGCGUGUGACGAUUUUUGUCCCGGAGCUACGCAGACAGCUGCAAUUCAUGGGCGAUGUUGAUUCCCAGAAAGGCUGUGGAUUGGCAUGGGGUCUGCAUCUCACAGACCCUGAUCAAUACCCCUACACUCACACGCCAGAUGGUUUGGGGAAGGGCAAAAAUAAAAUAGCCCCAAACAGCCCACCAUCAUCUCCCCCCACCCCCUUUGGUACUGUUCAGAUAAACCUAGCUGGAGCAUGAAUGUAUUGGGGCCAGUAUAAAACCCGAAUACAUUCUGAGUGUUUCUGUGUUUUUUUUCUAGCCUUCCUAGACAGAACUAUAGCUACUCCUGGGGGUGUUUGUUUGUUUGUUUGUUUGUCUGUUUGUUUUGUUGUGCUUUAAAAAAAGACCCGAUGGUAUCUUAUCCGGAGGGUAUUGACUUUGGGGAGGGGGUCUGUUUGUAUUUUUUCGUGAAUAAUUCAUGGGGUUCCUGUUUUAACUGAAUCUCCCCAGUUUUAACAUGGAAAAAAAUACAAAUGAAAAACGGAUAGUAUUUUCAGUGUUUUCGUAACAUUUCUAACUUAAGCUCGGAGUUCUUUUUCUCCUACUAUGAAAAAACAAAAAACCUAGUCGAACAUUCUAUCUGUACUCAUUCACAUUUCUGACUGUAAAGGACAUCUGACCUGCAGAUGUGAUAUACCGGAGAAGUAGAAUCCUCCAGGUCCUGACACAAUGCCUGACACAGGUCCUUGGAUUCUAACAGGAACAGGCUAUUGUGGCAGGACAUUUCCAUAGACUAUUUGUGAAUCAAAUGCUGGGGAAGGAGGGAGAGGGGCAUAUAAGUUCACAUUAAAAGGCAAACCCCUGACCUAAAGAACUUGUUAAGCUUAAGGCAGAGCAUGGGGUUAAACAAGAGCUGACUAAAAAGCAGCCCUUUCCUUUUGUUUUAUCAAAGACAUAAUAAUAAGAAAGCAUCACCAACACAUUACAAAUUUUCACUACUAUUGCUACAAUUAAAAUUGUCUAAGUGGAAGAUAAGUCAUGUUCCCUCUUUAGGAAGGAAGGGAAGGGGGCAUGUGAAACCUAAAUCAGUAAAAAUUAGAGUGCUAAGUAAACAAGCCCUUUCAUUUCCCCCUUAAUUAGGUUCUGAGUUGGAAUAUAAACCGUCAAAGCUAUUAGAAAAACAUCGUGGAAAAAAAAUCUGCUCUAA